GUCUGGGUGGCUCAGUCGGUUGAGUGUCUGACUUCGGCUCAGGUCACGAUCUCAUGGUUUGUGAGUUCAAGCCCCACGUCGGGCU
rnacentral:tRNA from 1 species